rnacentral:lncRNA from 1 species
UUUAGGACUAUACAAAUAUGUUUAUCCAACUAAAUAUUUAGGAGAGACAAGUUUGUGUGUCCACACUUAUUACACAUGAACAGAAUCUGAUUUUAGGCAAUAAUUAGACAAGGUGCAUUAGUAGAUUUAGAUGGUGGAAAAAUUACAUAUAAGUUAUUCUAUUGUUAAGAGGUCUUAAUUUUCUUAAUUCUUGUCUUAAUAUCAGACUAAAAGUAUAAACUUACAAAUGUUUCUUUUUUUUAAUUGAAUUUUCAAAAAAUUGUAAAACUGGCAUUUUUAUUCCUCUUAUUUUAAUAUAAAAU